ensembl:lncRNA
CAAAGCCAGAGGAGAAGCAAUGGCUCCGAUUUAUGUGGUCCCGGUUCUUUGGACCUGCCCGUCAAUGGGUUCAGCUCAAACUGGAGAAGCACUGUAGGAACCUGGACGGUGUAGAACAGUUUGUGGGGGAUUUCAUGUUGCGAUUCGGGAGUCCGGAGGCGAAGGAGGAGCUAGAACAACUUCUCAGGGGUGUAAGUCUGGAAGGCGAACCUGCCCUGCCGUUUACCCACUACUACAGGCAACGUCAUACAGAGCUCAACCCUGAGAUCCAAGCCAAGCCUCCAGUCAGGAAAGUCCAAGUCCCAGUCAAGUCUCAUGUCCCUGAUGUCCAAGUCCCAGUCAAGUCUGAAGUCCCUAAGGUCCAAGUCCAAGUCAAGUCUGAAGUCCCUAAGGUCCAAGUCAAGUCUGAAGUCCCUAAGGUCCAAGCCAAGCCUCAUGUUCCUGAGAUCCAAGCCAAGCCUCCAGUCAGGAAAGUCCAAGUCCCAGUCAAGUCUCAUGUCCCUGAUGUCCAAGUCCCAGUCAAGUCUCA